ACCUACACUUCCGGGCUAUCUUAACAUAUUUAAUGAUUCUUAUUAUAUACCAAAUAAACUCAUAAUUGGUAUUUGGUUUGAACUAGUUGUUAGGAUUUUCCAGAGUUCAGUUUACUGAACCAUUUUUUUAGCAUUCUUUCAUUAGAACAAUAUGUUAGUGUUGCAAGUGUGAGGAGUGUUGAAGUUAGUCACACAUCAAAGAAAAUAAAAAAGAGUGAGGAGUUUAUAAGAUGAGAGACCUAUUAAUUUGGUAUAAUUUUAUCUUAAAAUAACAAGAAGAACUAAAACUAUUUUAAAGACAGUACUUUAAAAUUUUGGUCCAACACAGCAGUUUCUGAACUCUCAUAUAUUUCUAGUUGUUUUUCAUUUUACCCUCUAUUUUGGGUGUCAUUAAAGAAAAAGGUAACUACCCUUCUGGGAGGGCCUAACUGCAUUAUAAGAUAUGAUAGAAGCAAAAGUGUUUGCCAUUAUGAGUUGGACAAAGUAGGCAAUUACAGACAAAGAGAUGGUUGUUGCUGAUAUAUAUAUGGUUUAAUUAAAUUUAUUCCUUUCUCUUAUAGUGUUGAUAUUGUUGUGUGUUAUUAUGGCUAGGGGCUAUGGGCUAUGGCUUCCUUUCAUGGUAUUCAAUUCCACCUCCUUGGAGUUAAGAAUUUGAACCGCAUUAGCCCACUACCUAUUCAUUAUUUCUCUCUUUCUUUAAAUAUUCUAUCUCCUCAGUCCUCACUGGGCACUGCCCCAAUGUGAUUCAGGACAUGCACCACUGGCUGCACCAUACAUGUCAUCUCAUGAUUCCUCAGUGGGAACUUAUUGCUGCACAUGGCUAAUGGCUUCAUAUCCUGUUCACAUUUUACAUUAGCUAGCUAGCAGCACCAGAGAGUAAAUAUUAUAAGGUCAAUGACUAAUCCGUAGCGGAUGAAUUAUUUUUGGUUUCCCACGGUAUCCCCCAACCCGGCAGGUCAAGGACUAAUCCGUCGCGGUACUGAGCUCCAUUUAAGGGUUUGCCGCUGGCCAAUGGGUUGCUGCAUGCACAAGGCGGGAUUCGAACCCCCGACACUUGCUUAAGCGGACUAGUGAGCUAACCACUAGACCAACCCAACUUGGUUUACCUAUCAUUUUUUAAAGAAGCAAUACUCCACUUUAUAAGAAGGCUGAACUUGGACCUCCAUCAAGGGCCAAGGCCCAGAUAAUUUUUUCCCCUUUGUUUUGGUUAUGGGCAGAGUUUCUUACUGUGAAGAAUUCUGGUUAGGGAAUUUCUUUCAUUUAAAGAUGGAUCUAUCAUAAAAAAAAAAGGAUCAAGUCAUCUCCAAAAGAAAAAAAGGUUGGAUCAAGUUUGACUAAUGAGAUCGUUAUAGGUAGUGUUCAAAGGCCCGCUAUGAUUUCCCCUUCUAAUUCCGCUACAACUACAAAUUUUAAAUAUCAUAUACAUAGAGUCAAGUAAAUAUAUUUAGUUUUUUUUUUCUAGAAAAAAUAUUGGUCAUAAUGAUUCUGUUGAUAAUUCUAUGUUUAAUUUUCUCUAUCUAUUACCUUUCUUGUUCUUGCAAAACUAUAUUGAUCCUUUAUUCUAUCUUUCAAAACUAUAUGAUAAAUGAAACAAAAUAAUUUUUGUGUCUCCAUCACAUAUUAUUAUUAUUAUUAUUUUGGUAUUAUAACGGGGUACGUAUUAUGUUUCUUCUU